GCCAGGAGUGGUGGUGCACGCCUGUAAUCUCAUAGGCUCAGGAGGCUGAGGCAGGAGGAUCACAAGUGCAAAGCCAACCUCAGAAACUUAGCAAGGCUCUAAGCAAUUUAGUGAGACCCUGUAUCUA
rnacentral:sRNA from 1 species